GGGCUUCCUUCAGCAACACAUAUACUAAAAUUGGAACGUUACAGAGAAGACUAGCAUGGCCCCCACAUGAGGAUAAUAUGCAAAUUUGUGAAGCACUCCAUAUUUUU